UACAGAGGUCUCAAGCGUUGUUCGGAUUCAUUGGGCGUAAAGGGUGCGUAGGCGGCGCGGUAAGUCGGGUGUGAAAUCUCGGAGCUUAACUCCGAAACUGCAUUCGAUACUGCCGUGCUUGAGGACUGGAGAGGAGACUGGAAUUUACGGUGUAGCGGUGAAAUGCGUAGAUAUCGUAAGGAAGACCAGUGGCGAAGGCAGGUCUCUGGGCAUUAACUGACGCUGAGGAGCGAAAGCAUGGGGAGCGAACAGG
rnacentral:rRNA from 1 species